rnacentral:tRNA from 1 species
UUGGGCAAGGGGCUCGCGGCAGCGGCUCUGGCGUCUCUCCUGCAGGCGCGUGGCUACAAGGUUCGUCUCCGUAAGCUCGAUCC